rnacentral:rRNA from 1 species
GAGUUUGAUCAUGGCUCAGGACGAACGCUGGCGGCGUGCUUAACACAUGCAAGUCGAACGGAGCUGGGGGCGACUCCAGCUUAGUGGCGGACGGGUGCGUAACACGUGAGGAAGGUGCCUUUCGGUGGGGGAUAGCCGGCCCAACGGCCGGGUAAUACCGCGUACGCCCGCUUGGUCGCAUGACCUGGCGGGGAAAGUCGCAAGACGCCGAUUGAGCCCCUCGCGGCCUAUCAGCUUGUUGGUGAGGUAAUGGCUCACCAAGGCUACGACGGGUAGCUGGUCUGAGAGGAUGGCCAGCCACAUUGGGACUGAGACACGGCCCAGACUCCUACGGGAGGCAGCAGA